AAAGUCCUACGGGGGGCAGCAGUGGGGAAUAUUGGGCAAUGGGCGCAAGCCUGACCCAGCAAUGCCGCGUGAAGGAAGAAGGCCCUAGGGUUGUAAACUUCUUUUAUCAGGGACGAAGGAUGUGACGGUACCUGAUGAAUAAGCUCCGGCUAACUACGUGCCGGCAGCCGCGGUAAUACGUAGGGCGCAAGAGUUAUCCGGAUUUACUGGGUGUAAAGGGCGAGUAGGCGGGAUGG
rnacentral:rRNA from 1 species